GACGAACGCUGGCGGCGUGCUUAACACAUGCAAGUCGAACGGAAAGGCCCUGCUUUUGUGGGGUGCUCGAGUGGCGAACGGGUGAGUAACACGUGAGUAACCGGCCCUUGACUUUGGGAUAACUUCAGGAAACUGGGGCUAAUAUCGGAUAGGAGCUCCUGCUGCAGGGUGGGGGGUGGAAAGUUUUGGCGGUUGGGGAUGGACUCGCCGCUUAUCAGCUUGUUGGUGGGGUAGUGGCUUACCAAGGCUUUGACGGGUAGCCGGCCUGUGAGGGUGACCGGCCACAUUGGGACUGAGAUACGGCCCAGACUCCUACGGGAGGCAGCAGUGGGGAAUAUUGCACAAUGGGCGGAAGCCUGAUGCAGCAACGCCGCGUGCGGGAUGACGGCCUUCGGGUUGUAAACCGCUUUCGCCUGUGACGAAGCGUGAGUGACGGUAAUGGGUAAAGAAGCACCGGCUAACUACGUG
rnacentral:rRNA from 1 species